CCUACGGGAGGCAGCAGUAAGGAAUAUUGGUCAAUGGACGAAAGUCUGAACCAGCCAUGCCGCGUGAAGGAUGAAGGCCCUCUGGGUUGUAAACUUCUUUUAUAGGGGACGAAAAAAGGGCAUUCUUGCUCACUUGACGGUACCCUAGGAAUAAGCACCGGCUAACUCCGUGCCAGCAGCCGCGGUAAUACGGAGGGUGCAAGCGUUAUCCGGAUUUACUGGGUUUAAAGGGUGCGUAGGUGGGUUGGUAAGUCAGCGGUGAAAUCUUCGAGCUUAACUCGGAAACUGCCAUUGAUACUAUCAAUCUUGAAUCAUCUAGAGGUAAGCGGAAUAUGUCAUGUAGCGGUGAAAUGCUUAGAUAUGACAUAGAACACCAAUUGCGAAGGCAGCUUACUAUGGAUGUAUUGACACUGAGGCACGAAAGCGUGGGGAUCAAACAGGAUUAGAUACCCUGGUAGUCCACGCCCUAAACUAUGGAUACUCGACAUUUGCGAUAUACUGUAAGUGUCUGAGCGAAAGCAUUAAGUAUCCCACCUGGGAAGUACGAUCGCAAGAUUGAAACUUAAAGUAGAAGUUAGACGG
rnacentral:rRNA from 1 species